rnacentral:tRNA from 7 species
GUGCCCGUAGCUCAAUUGGAUAGAGCAUUGGACUGCGGAUCCAAAGGUUGCUGGUUCAAAUCCAGUCGGGCACGCCA